AAGAAACUAACAAGGAUUCCCCUAGUAACGGCGAGUGAAGCGGGAUGAGCUCAAAUUUGUAAUCUGGUGGACUCAGUUCAUCCGAGUUGUAAUCUAUAGAAAAGUUUUCCGCGCCGGACCGUGUCUAAGUCCCUUGGAACAGGGUGUCAGAGAGGGUGAGAAUCCCGUGCUUGAUACGACCACCGGUGCUAUGUGAUACUUUUUCAACGAGUCGAGUUGUUUGGGAAUGCAGCUCAAAAUGGGUGGUAAAUUCCAUCUAAAGCUAAAUAUUGGCGAGAGACCGAUAGCGAACAAGUACCGUGAGGGAAAGAUGAAAAGCACUUUGGAAAGAGAGUUAAACAGUACGUGAAAUUGUUAAAAGGGAAACGAUUGAAGUCAGUCGUGCUCUCUGGGACUCAGCCGGUUCUUCCGGUGUAUUUCCCAGUGAGCGGGUCAACAUCAGUUUAGAUCGCUGGAUAAGGUCAUUAGGAAUGUGGCUCCCUCGGGAGUGUUAUAGCCUAGUGUCGCAUACAGUGGUUUAGACUGAGGAACGCAGCUCGCCUUUAUGGCCGGGGUUCGCCCACGUCCGAGCUUAGGAUGUUGACAUAAUGGCUUUAAACGACCCGUC
rnacentral:rRNA from 1 species